UACUGAUGCUGCUGGAUCGGCAUUUCUCGCCUGGCUUUCGCUCCCCCUCCCCAUCCCACGACUCGGUCAGCUGAUAUAGCCUCCAAAGGCUCCGGAGGUACCUCUGUUCUUGCGUGACGGGAAGGAAACGACCCGAGCAGGCUGCAACAAAGAGAGAUGGGAGGGUGAUCCAGGCAGAAUGACGGAGGAUAUAUCCAAUUAAAAGCAGAAGCACCGGGGAAAACGCCUUUGCUGGAAGGCACAAGGAGGAAGCGGGUCAUUAGAACACGCGGCUGCACCUCUGAGUUGGAUUCAAGGUCAGAGGAGAGAAAGCAACUCUGGAACGUGUGAAAAAGGGAAUGGCCCAAGUAAUAAGGUGGGGCAAUGAGGAUGCAGAAUUCCCACCUCAGGCAUGUUGUUUACUCGAAAGUCUCACUGUGCUGAACGGAACUGAGACCAGAAUUGAAUGACAUUUGGUAUUAUCUCCAGACAACUAUCUGAUAUUUGAGGUUUUUGCAAAGCGGAUAGAGAAACUCCUUAGAACUCUUAUCCAACUGCACUGAAUGCUUCUGCGAAAAGUUGUUGAAUGUAUAGUGAUAAUUGUUGACAUUUUAGAUUAGGGAAAUUAAUGUAAAAUUCCUGUAUAAAUUUCUCCCUUUUCCUCCCUCCCUUUCCCCCUGUUCUUGAUUGAACAGUAUAACUAUUUAUAUUAACAGUUUUCCUAGUAUUCACAUUUGAUUAAUCUGGUUGAUACAGAUAUUGGAAUAUUAGCAAUUUUUAUGUAAUUUAACAUAAUUGUAGAGGUUAUCAUUUUUUGUAUUGUUUCCAUAAAUUCCCAGUGAAAUUA